GCCCCCCGCCCGCCCCCCGCCCGGCGCCGCUGCCCCGCGCCCCCCCCCCGGUUCCCGGCGUGCCGCGGUGGCGCGUGUGCCGGGCGCUGCGGUCGCUGCGCUCGCGGGGCGCCGUGCGGGAGCGGCACUGCUGGCGGCACCGCUACUGCUUCCUCACCGAGCGCGGCCUCGCCGUGCUGCGGGCGCAGCUCCGCCUGCCCGACGCCGCGCUGCCCCGAACCUGGCUGCCCCGCGGCGACCCGGCCCGGAGCGCCGUGCCCCACAAGUCCCUGCCCCACAGCGACCCGGCCUGUAGGACUGUGCCCCACAAGUCCCUGCCCCACAGCGACCCGGCCCGCGCGGAGCCCCUGCCCCACAAGUCCCUGCCCCAUAGCGACCCGGCCUGUAGGACUGUGCCCCAUAAGUCCCUGCCCCACAGCGACCCGGCCUGUAGGACUGUGCCCCACAAGUCCCUGCCCCAUAGCGACCCGGCCUGUAGGACUGUGCCCCACAAGUCCCUGCCCCACAGCGACCCAGCCUGUAGGACUGUGCCCCAUAAGUCCCUGCCCCAUAGCAACCCGGCCCGCGCGGAGCCUCUGCCCCACAAGUCCCUGCCCCAUAAGUCCCUUCCCCACAAGUCCCUGCCCCAUAGCAACCCGGCCUAUAGGACUGUGCCCCAUAAGUCCCUGCCCCAUAGCAACCCGGCCCAUGCGGAGUCCCUGCCCCACAAGUCCCUGCCCCAUAAGUCCCUGCCCCAUAGCGACACGGCCCACACGGAGCCCCUGCCCCAUAAUGACCCGGCCCGUAGCUCUGUGCCCCAUAAGUCCGUGCCCCAUAAGUCUGUGCCCCACGCUUCCCUGCCCCAUAGCGACCCAGCCCACGCAAAGCCCCUGCCCCACGUGUCCCUGCCCCACACAUCCCUGCCCCAUAGUGACCUGGCCCACACAAAGUCCCUGCCCCACAAGUCCCUGCCCCCCACUCAUCCCAAGAGCUGCAGCACAGAGGAGCUCCCCCCAUCCCGGCUGCCCCAUAGCAAAGAUGGGGCUCAGACCCACAUGAAGACCCAUGGAUCCCAGCUGCCCCACAGCAAGAACGGGGCUCAGCCCCCCAAGUCCCAGCUGCCCCACAGCGUGGACACGGCUCAGCCCCAUAGCAAGAAAACAGCUCAGCCCCAUAGUGAGGAAAUGGCUCAGCCCCAUAACAAGGACGCAGCUCAGCCCCAUAACAAGGACGCAGCUCAGCCCCAUAACAAGGACGCAGCUCAGCCCCAUAACAAGGACGCGGCUCAGCCCCAUAACAAGGACGCAGCUCAGCCCCAUAGCGAGGAUGCAGCUCAGCCCCACAUGGACCCCCCCGACCCAGCGCUGCCCCACAGCGAGGAGGCGGCUGAGCCCCCCCAGCCCAGUGCAGGUACCUCUGUGGGGAGAUGA
rnacentral:lncRNA from 1 species